AGAGUAUCAAGUGUGGAGAUAGAGUAUCAAGAAUCUUGGAUUUUCAUCAAAUUGAAGAAGAGGCAUCAAAGGAUCUUGGAUUUGAAUCUAUUUGGACCGAAUUUGUGCUCGAAUCGGAGUUUAAACGAGACGAUCAAGCUAUGGAGUAAUAUGGACCAUUCAUCGAAGAUUGGACAGAUCUGAGCCAUCCAGUGAAGAUAUGGUCGAUCCGACCUAAGGGAGAGUAGAUCCAGACCCUUGAUCAAGAUCAAUACCUCCGGAUCGGAUUUUUAGUGAUGUUCCACCAUUGAUCAAGCUCCAAAUUGAUUUCAGCCGUCCGUUCAGAUCUGGAUCUGAUUUAAUAGAGAAGCUACUAUAACCUUCGUGCAUUGUCAACUCCUCCACGCAACUUCAUCCCGGAGCGUGUCUUCUUCCGGAAUCCGGCCCCUUUCCUUCUCGGAUCAUCCUUUCAAGCUUCAACCUCGGUGGAUAAUCUCUACAGCAGCUCAUCCCGAUCUUCUGGAGCCAUCGGAGGGUGUUCCCUCUGGUGGAAUUUGGCUCUCGGCAAUCCUCUAUUCCAUCUCAGAUUUGGAGGUGUUCCUCUAAUCUGAGACUCUGAUUCCCAUCAGCAACGCUUGAAGGUGGUCCUCCGAUGUUCUUGAGCUCCAUCAGACAACAUACCAUCAUCCGCAGCUUCCAUUCAGAUCCAGAGAUCAUAUUUGCAUAUUUCGGGACAUUCUUGGGUUUAGGGUUGUUUCAGCUCGCCGGAGGUGUUCCGCCGGUGUUGUUGAGCAUUCCUUGAACUGAGACGCAGCUGAGAUGCUUCAUUGAGGUCCGGAGUUGGGUGUUCUCGACUUUGGCAUUCUUGUGUGAUGACAAGAGUGUGCGGAUUGUUGGAUUGAUUGUGAGAAUGGAUUGGUUUACCAUUUUAUUUCCUUUUAUUACUGUUUUGUAGCUUGACACAUAUUUCUUUUAGUAUUUGUUAUGUUUUAGCAAGUAAUCUAGUAUUUCAUUACUUAGUUGAA